GAUGAACGCUAGCGGCAGGCCUAACACAUGCAAGGUCAGGGGUAACAUAGAAAAGCUUGCUUUUCUGAUGACGACCGGCGCACGGGUGCGUAACGCGUAUACAACCACCUUUUAGCGGGGAAUAGCCCAGGGAAACUUGGAUUAGUGCCCCAUAGUAUAUAGACUUCUCCUGAAGUUUAUAUUAAACAUUUAUGGCUAUUAGAUGGGUAUGCGUCCUAUUAGUUAGUUGGUGAGGUAACGGCUUACCAAGGCAGCGAUAGGUAGGGGUCCUGAGAGGGAGACUCCCCACACUGGUACUGAGACACGGACCAGACUCCGUACGGGAGGCAGCAGUGAGGAAUAUUGGACAAUGGGCGAGAGCCUGAUCCAGCCAUGCCGCGUGCAGGAAGACUCGCCCUAGUGGGUUAGUAAACUGUCUUUUACAGAGGAAGAACCCACCCCACGUGUGGGGGUUUUGACGGUACUCUGCGAAUAAGGAUCGGCUAACUCCGUG
rnacentral:rRNA from 1 species